rnacentral:rRNA from 1 species
UGGAUACGAGAUGCUACGGCGUCGAAGCAGUCUAUGUCAUACUUCCAAGAAAAGCUUGCACUGUCAUAAACAAAUAAUGCCUGUACCAUAACCGACACAGGUGGGUAGGUAGAGUAUACUAAGGGGCGCGAGAUAACUCUCUCUAAGGAACUCGGCAAAAUGACUCCGUAACUUCGGGAGAAGGAGUGCCUUAUUUAUAAGGUUGCAAUAACAAGAUCCAAGCAACUGUUUACCAAAAACACAGGUCUCCGCUAAGUCGUAAGACGAUGUAUGGGGGCUGACGCCUGCCCAGUGCCAGAAGGUUAAAGAAGUUGGUUAGCAUCCGCGAAGCUGACAACUGAAGCCCUGGUGAACGGCGGCCGUAACUAUAACGGUCCUAAGGUAGCGAAAUUCCUUGUCGGGUAAGUUCCGACCCGCACGAAAGGCGUAAUGAUUUGGAUACUGUCUCGGAGAGGGGCUCGGUGAAAUAGACUUGUCUGUGAAGAUGCGGACUACCUGCACCAGGACAGAAAGACCCUAUGAAGCUUUACUGUAACCUGAAAUUGAAAUUGGACUUUACUUGCGCAGUAUAGGUGGGAGGCGUUGAGAAUAUUCUUGCGGGAUUAUUGGAGCCAUCAGUGAGAUACCACUCUUGUAAUGUUAGAUUUCUAACUUUGUAUCAUUAUCUGGUCAAAGAACAGUUUCAGGCGGGCAGUUUGACUGGGGCGGUCGCCUCCUAAACGGUAACGGAGGCGCACAAAGGUUUCCUCUGAACGGGUAGAAAUCGUAUCUAGAGUGUAAAGGCAUAAGGAAGCUUGACUGUGAGACCUACAAGUCGAGCAGGGACGAAAGUCGGUCUUAGUGAUCUGACGGUGCUGAGUGGAAAGGCCGUCACUCAACGGAUAAAAGUUACUCUAGGAUAACAGGCUGAUCUCCCCCAAGAGUUCACAUCGACGGGGAGGUUUGGCACCUCGAUGUCGGCUCAUCGCAUCCUGGGGCGGUAGUACGUCCCAAGGGUUGGGCUGUUCGCCCAUGAAAGCGGUACGCGAGCUGGGUUCAGAACGUCGUGAGACAGUUCGGUCCAUAUCCGGUGUAGGCGUUAGAAUAUUGAGAGGAGCCUUCUUUAGUACGAGAGGACCGAGAAGGACAUACCUCUGGUGUACCAGUUAUCGUGCCAACGGUAAACGCUGGGUAGCUAUGUGUGGAGUGGAUAACCGCUGAAAGCAUCUAAGUGGGAAGCCCACCUCAAGAUAAGUAUUCUCAUC